GGUGGUCUGCUUGGCUUCACCGCUGCUAGAGCUCGCGAUCUCCUCUACGUGUUGGCCCUACCUGCACAAAGGACACUCUAGGUAGGUUCCCGAGGACACUAUAGGAUCGUGAGCUCUAACAUUGGUGAAGCUAGGUUGAUCAUGAACUUCCGAAGUAACAAAAUAACCAAAAUAAUCAAUUCUCUAGAGAUUGCUUUUGUUUCUUUUUAUUUCCCUUCCAUAGGGAUUUAAGAGAAUGUAAUAUGAAUAUGCACAAUUUUUAAUCAAUUCAAUCCAUGUUUAAAAAAUAAAAAUAUUCGAGAAGUACUAUUCUGAAGGAAAAUUUCUCGAAACAACUUUCAAUCAUGUUAGUAAACGUGUUUUCAGUAGUAUUUAAAAAAAAUAAAUGAAUCAAAUACAGUUUCAGUGCUGAAUUUGAGCUCAUCUUCUGUCCUGUGUCUUGGAUUAGCGCAAACCGUUCUCCACUGUGGCCGACUUCCAAAUUAUUCGAUACUCGUAAUGCAAAUCAAAAUUAGAUUAAAAAAAUGAAGCUUACAACAUUAUGUUUGUGUUGCUCAAUCAUUGAUGGAGGCUGGAGCCUUGUGUUUAGGUCUUCAAAGGGCAGUUGAGUUCUUCGAAUGAAGAUGAAGAUUGUCAUGGACUGAGAUGCCCAUUUGAACAUGGGGUUUGGCGUUUUACGCUUUCUAAUAGAUUAAUUUUGUGGGUCAUCGUUGGGUUCUGUUGUGAAUUCCAUUCGAAGGAUGGGGUGGGUGCAAGGGCUUUCACACAACGACGUCGUUGUGGUUUCUCCGUUUCUGGCAAGGACAUUGAAAUGAAAGGUUUCAGGGGUUUCAGCAGACGAGGUGUUUUCUGGUGGCAGAUGAAUCUUUUAUGAGGUAAUCAUAAGCUGAUAAUAUUUAUAGUAAGUGGGUCUUAAGUUUUUUGCUAAUUCAAUCUUUAUGCGCUAUGCUGUUGGGUUGGUCUUAUUGCAGUUGAAGUACUCUGCUUACUUUAUAUUUCUUUAUGCGCUAUGUUUAGGGCAAAUGUUUUCUUCUGUUCAUUGCAUAUUUGAGUGUUGGAGCUAGUCUGGUUAAGAUCCCAUAAAGAAUAUUUUGUAGAGAACUUGAAAGUGUAGGGUUAAAAAAAAACUGGAUUAAUAUGUGGUAUGCCAUGUUUAUCAGGUAUAGUAUGGCUUAAACUGUUAUGAUCAGUCAAUUUUUGGAACCACUGAUUGGGUAAUUAGUAUCAUAUGAUGGAGUUGAUAACUGUGAAGGGCAGGGAUAGAUUUACCACUUUUUCAAUCUAAAGGGUUUACGCUCUAGUUUUCAACAGAAUUUAAGUGUGCGAGUCAGUUUCUAACCCCAACCAGAUUGUUGUUUGGUUUUAAAAUGUACAUUCAUGGAGAGGCCACAGAUGCUUUCUUACAUUUUCAAACAGUUCUGGACAAGUGGGUCAAUAAACAUCAUAUCAAGACUCAGUUGAUCCAUAUAUCUAAAAUGUUCCGAAUUAGAAAUUUCCAUGAAAGAAAAAUGAUCCCAACUUUUCAAUUCAUAAAUUAAAUAAAAUCAGGCACAAUAAUUGAGCUAAUAUGUCUCACAAGUGCAGCAGAAAAGCUUUAAUGCUUAUGCAAUGUUGUCUAGGCUUCUCUCAUGUUUAAACAAUCUGUUAGGAUUUUAUCUACAUUAACCUAAGGUAAUCAUCCUAGAGGGGAGUUGGGAGGAGGGUGGGGGGUCGUUUAAUAGGGUGAUGGUCUCUUUUUUAGAAAGAAUUAAACUAUUUGAAUGCAAGAAACAAUUAUAUGCAGAUAUAUAAUAAAUAUAAUGAAAAAACAAUUACAUAUAAAAUAAAAAGUAAGGUUCAUGAAGACACCUUUUCUUUGAACUGGUCCUUCCAAGUCAUUGAAAGAAAAAAAUCAAGAUCUUCAAAUACAUCCUCUCUAAAUCUUCCGGGAUUGGGCCGGAGAGGCUAUUAGAAGAAAGAUCUAAUCUCUCCAGUGCCAAUAAUUUGCCCACUGAAUUAGUUAUUAAACCCCCUAAUUUAUUUCUUGCUACAUUGAGAUCAUGCAAACUUAAGUGACCGCCAAUUAUUGCUGGCAUACUUCUUGACAAUUGGUUGUCAGAAGCAUCCAGGGUGCCUUGAUUUUCCAAACUGCCAACUUUGAUGGGCAAAGAACCAUUUAGAGCCUUUUGUGCCAAUCACAACUCCAGUAAACUGGCGGUUAUUUACUUGUACUUUUUGGCUGGUUUGGCGGUGAGUGUAUAGGUAUUGUAUAUCUUGAGUCGCUCUUUUGACGCCUCUUUUCACAAGAUCUUUUCUUUACCUAUCAAAAAAACAGCUCCAGUAAACUGGGGCAGGAAAAUCUCCUUGGGUAUGCUGCCACUGAGCUUGUUAUGGGCUUGACCCAAUGUCCUUAGACUCUGGCACUCCCCAAUAUUUUGAGGAAAGAAAUGGUUAUAUCCCAUCCUAAGCUCAAGUAAUCACAUAAGUUUGCCAAAGGUAUCUGGAAUUUCUCCAGAUAAAGUGUUUUCAUUUGCUAAAAUUUUCUGUAGUGUCAGAGAAAGGUUUCCUAUAGAAGUUGAUAUCUUACCUGCAAAGUCAUUCUGCUGUAUGUCCAAGGCCUGGGGAUUUUCAAAUUUGAAAGCCCUCGGGGAAUGCUACCAGUCAGGAAAUUGUAGCCAAUGCAAAGUUCUUGGAGAUGCAUAGAAAGAUUCACAAUUGAACUUGGAGGUUUCCCUGUCAGAUGGUUGGAAUUAAUAGAUAGAACCUCCAAUGGGGUAAAGUUUGUUAGGAAAUUAAUUACCUGAAGAUUUAGCUAGGUGGUAGGAGAAAGAUUGUUCCAUCCCAGAUUUAGGAUUCUAAGAUUAUUUAUGUUACCAAGUAGAGAAGAGAAGUCACGGAUUCGUAUUUGAGAAGCAUUGGAUAGUGAAAUGGGUAUGAGUCCUUUCAUCAUGUAAUAUCUGAUAAGAAGAGUUCCCUCAGAUUAGGUAGAACAAGGCCAAUAUCAGCGGGUAGUUUUUCAACCUGCAUGCUUUGUUUUUCACAUCAAAGAGGAAAUGUUGUAGAUGAAGUGAGGGAACUCACCAUCUAAGAAAUUCUCUAAGAGCUGAAGUUGCUGAAGAUUACGGAGAUGACCCUUCUCAUUUGGAAUAUUACCCAAGAAUUGUUUUCUCACUAGUCUCAAAACAGCAAGAGAGGUGAGAUUUCUAAAUGUAGGAGGUAUUGCACCUAUAAGAUUAGUCACUGCAGCAUGUUAAGAUCUAGCUAUACCAACAUAAGGUAAUCACCUUGGAGAGGGGGAAAGUAAAUAGGUGAUGAUCACUUUUUACAAAUUUAAACUUAGAGAAUGCAAGUAACAAUAUAGUAAUAAUAUAAUAAAAAAAUAAAGAACAAUAAUUAAAGAGAUUAGGGAAGAGAGAUUGAAAACUCCAAUUUAUAGUGGUUUGGCCUAAUCCUGGCCUACAUCUGCUCUCCUCUGGCUUCAAUCAAGAUUGGGGUACCACCAUACCAAGGCUUCCAAAUCAAGCCUUUAAGCUUUACACUCAUAUUAAAAGGCUCCAAUGGGCACUUACAAUUUUCUUCAAAAGAUGUCUCACUCUUAAAUUCCCCAAGUGAUACCCCAUACUUAACAAACCCCUAAGUGAUACCUCACACUUAGGUUUUUCCUUCGAGUGAUACCCCAUACCUGAGCUCAUCUCACAAGGUUUACAAGAAAUGAAUUUUUCAAUACAAAUUUCUAGUUUACAAAUUUUUGCUUAAGGAUGCAAAGAAAACUAGAAUUGAUUAGGUGCACUAAGAAUGAAAUAUAAGUUUAAGCCCAAUGCUCUCAAAAAUAUUUUUGUAAGGCUCAAAAGUGUUGAACUAUUAAUUUUCCUAAAAGUUAAAGCUUAUGGGAUUUAGGCUCACAAGAUAUAUCAUGUACUCUAACACCCUCCCUUACGUGUAACCUCUAUUUUUGGGCUUUCACUUAGGCUUAAUAAAUUAGGUAAAUAAACAUGCAUUGGUGGUUCAAACACUUGACCCCCCUCUAAACAGGGCUUUGAUACCAUUUUGAAGUUUGAAUUACCAAUUUUCCUAAAAGCUUAAACUUGUAGGAUUUGGGCUCGCAAUGUAUAUUAUGCGCUCUAACAAAAGGUGAUUAAAUAAUGGUUUAGAAGUAUUCUAUCAUUUAUAAAUGAAGUAUAGUGCCUUUAUAUAGGAGCUAAAAGGUUAAACUAGCCGUUAGAAAUAAGUCUCCCAGAACUAGAUGUCCUCAUGGGCAUCCACAUGCUAGCCGUUGGAGCACUUAAUGAGGUGCAAAGAGCCAUUGGAGCAUUUAAUGAGGUGUAGAGAGCUGUUGGAGGCAAAAAAGUAGAUGUGGAUGUCCACUUGGUCAUCCACAUUGCCAAGCGGAUGACCGCAUGGCUGUCCACAUGACUUCUAGUAGCUAAAACUACCAAAAUAGAGCAAGUGGAUGACCACCUGAAUGUCCAAAUGACAACUGGAUGAUCGCUUGGUUAUUUGCAUGUGCUCUAAUCCAAUAUUUUUCGAAGUUUAUGCAUGUUUUGAGGCCAAGACCACCUUUAACUAGCCCAUAUGAAUGUAAAUCACCUUUUAACAAAGUCUUAAUCAAUAUUUUGAGAUAUUUUCAAGGUUUGAGAGCAUCGUGGUUAAGUCAAAAAUGUUUUUAAGAAACCUUAAAAGAUUUUCAUGUAUAGCUUGAGGCCCAUAUGAAUGUACAUACUCAAAAUGAUUUUUAUCCAAAUUAUAAAACUAUUAAACCAAUUUAAAACUCCUGGAUAAUGUUUUGGUGCUUAACAAAAAUCUGUAAUCUUAACUUAGUGCACCCAUCAUCUUACAUAAGGUAUUCUAAUGAUAAACUUGAUAAACCUUUUCUUCAUUCUUUUUGAAUUCCUCUUUUGCUCCAUGUAUCUUUUUCUUGAUGGUUCUAAGGAGAUCUUCUUGUGUAUCACACUUAAACAUAAUCAUUAGAUCCAAACCUUGUUUUGUUAUCAUUAAAACACGAGGUUAACUAAACCUUGGUCUAACACAACAUUGAGAACUUUUGAGUCUUGACAAAUGGCCAAGCUUAAAAGAAAGCUUUUUAGUAGUGGCUGUACUGUAAAUGAAUCUCCUCAAGGUUAUAAUAAGUUAAUAACUAGAGAGACUGACUGGAAUUGUACCAUUAAUGGAAUUUUGUGCAAGGUUAAUAUGCUGAACAAGUGAGGGCUGGCCAAACUCCAGGAGAAUUGGCCAUAAAAUGAGUUCUUGGAAAGAUUUGAGUAAUUGCAGGAAGGUGAGGUUGGAGAGUUGAGGGGAUAUGAUACCAGAGAGCUGAAGUACAGCAAACCAAGGAAAGCGAACCAAGCAAAAUGAGUAGAGUGUGAUGAAUUUAGGUUCCAGCCAUGAGUUCCUUAAUUGGUGCAAGUGACACCAUGCCAAGUACUGUGAGAUGAAUUUAGGUUCCAGACUGACAGAGCAGCAUGAGGGUCAGAGGCUUUGGAUUUCAAAGAUGGAAGUGCAUGUAUCGGUGUUAGCAACAAGAGCUCCUGGCUUGUUCAUGCUGCAAUCUAGAAUAAUUUGAAGCUUGAGGAGGAUGAGCCAUGAAAUCUGGAGAUGCUCUUUCAUUUUUGAAAUGAGGAUCAUGGACUGCAGGGCUUGCCCUAGAUGUAUGGCUGUCAGCAGUUUAUGCACAUAGUUAUCACCCUAAGUUAAGGCUUGAAGAUGAUUUAAAGAAAUCAAAACAAUUCAAUUUUCCAUUCUUCUGCAUUACUCAAAUAAAAAUAUAAGGGUUAUAUCUUCCUGUUAUAAAUUUUGCAAUACUUCCAUGACAUUAUUAAUAUUUUGGAGACUGUUAAUUUCUCUCCUUGUUUUAGUGAAAUUCGUGAAAUGUCCUUGAUACAUUGUGGUAUAUCUCCUGAACCUCCAUAUUUCUUUUCAAACUUUCAUAAUCUCUUCCAUAUUAUAUCAAUGAUAAUUGAUUUGAUCUGGAUUUCACUCCUUAUGCUAUCUGUUUUUAAGAAUAAUAAUAUUUCAUGAGACUUUGAUAUUCAGACUUAUAUUUUAUAUAUACUAGUUAGCUAUCAAAAUUCCAUCUGCUGUUACACAUUUCGUUUAUAAUAAACAACUUUAAUGUUAUUCUGUCAAAUAUAUGAAUAUUUACCAAUUUACAACUCAUACAUAUAAGUCAUCAUGCACAACUCUCACCCUACAUACUACACAUUUGUCAUGUCUAUAUUAUUUUAUUAAUAUUCAGUCUAAAUUUUGCAUUAUAACAUGCAUCAGCAAUUCUUGAAGUUUCAAUUUAAAUUUCUAUGUUGUGUAUGUAAUUUAGAUCAUUUCUUUAAAAAUUUGUGAAUAUUGAUAUUUAUUGUUAUUUCCAUUGAUAUUCCUAAACAUCCACAAAAUGAAUAUUUGAAAACUUGAGUUUAUUGAACAAAGGGAGAUUUGUUCUCUCUUUUAUCCAAAGUUAAACAAUAAUUUUAUUUCCUCAUAAUCACUUCUCCAAGUCAUCUGACUACAUGAUAUAAAAUUUGGCCUUAUUUUUGUCAAUAUUUGUAAACAUUCAAAGAUUCCUUUUCGAAAAAAAAAAAAAAAAUCUAAUAGGCAGUCAUUCUGUGUGACAGUACUGAAUUGCUCUGAUCAUAAGACUGACCCUGUUUUAUGCAAAGGAAGCUCGUCUCCUUUGACCAAUUGGUGAGUCUGGUAUGCAGGGCAUAUCGUCAUGAAUUGUUUGAAUGAAUAUGGGUUCUAUUUAGCCUUGGACCCAGGGAGCAUGACAGCUUGAGCUUGUGCAUAUUUUUCCCUUUGAAUACUUCUUUAAACCUACAUGCUUCAGGAACUAGAAUAUCAAAAGAUAGUAAUGAGGGAAUUGCCCCAAUCAUAAGACCAACCCUGUUUUAUGCCAAGAAAGCUCGUCUCCUUUGACUAAUUGGUGAGUCUGGUAUACAGGGCAUAUUGUCAUGAAUUGCUUGAAUGAAUAUGGGUUCUAUUUAGCCUUUAACCCAGGGAGCAUGACGGCUUAAGCUUGUGCAUAGUUUUCCCUUUGAAUACCUUCUUUAAAGCUACAUGCAUCAGGAAUUAGAAUAUCAAAAGAUAGUAAUGAGGGACUUGACAGCUGGAGGCUUUUCCUUGAGCAUGUCUGACUGACUGGAUGCCUUUGAAUAAAUAAAUAAAUAAAUAAAUAAAUUGUACUCAUCCAAAUGCAAUCAUAAAGUUGAUGGAUUCAUCUUGAAUCUUAAUGCUUAACCUUCUCGACAGUAGUUGAUUAUUAAUUGGGGGGAAAAAAAUGAGAGAGAGCGAGAGUGAACACACGAGCGAAGGCAAGGAGGGGGAGAGCCGAGCAGAGAAUCGUGGGAAGAGGAAGGGAAGCAGAUUUGUGGUGGAAUCGAAGGUGUUAGAGGUAGAAGCCGAGGAGAGAAAAGGCAAGAUCCAAGUUAUUAUCUCGGAAAGCAAGGGAGAGUUACUGUCUUGGGUCCGCCUGGGGCCGGCGAGUGUGGGGCUGUUCAUAGAAGGGUUGACUCAAUGCAUAAGGGAUGGGAAAGAAGGAAGAUGGGAGAAGGGUUGGAAGGAAAAAGGGAGGACUUACUCUUUGGUGAGAGAGGUCAACAGGGUUGGGUGUUUCAUCCGUCUAGGGGUGACCGAUAUGGAGAAGAGGAGAUUUGGUAUUUGUAUUCCAAAAGGUAGGGGGGUGAAGGGGGGAUGGGCUUCUAUGGUGGAGUCCUUACGGAAUGUGGGACUUUGGUUCGAAAAGAAGGAAACCGACCAAGAAGUAAAGGUCUCAGGCAGGUUGUAUGUGGAAGUGGUAAAGGGUCUGGAGUGCAGGGAUGCCUCAAGGGUUAGAGUGGAGGUAAAGGGAGAGGAAAUAAGGGGAAAUGUGAGUAGAUUGGAGCAUUGCUUGGUAGGAAAAUGGAACCCUAGAUCAGCACAAGAAGAGGAUUUGGAGAGAUUAGGGUGGUCGGUGGCAAGAGCGUGGGGGUUGAAAGGUAAAUUAGGUUUGGCUAGAUUGGGUAAGGGAUGUGCUCUUAUGGAGUUUGAGAUUGUGGAGGAAGCUAAGAGGGUUCUAGCCUCGGGGGAGAGAUUAGUGGGAGGGAUUCAGCUGGGAUUGGAGAUGUGGAGCCCGAAAUUUGGAUGUUCUUCAGAGGGUGAAGCUAGGAAAGAAGCCUGGGUGAGGAUUUUGAGUCUCCCAAUUUCGCUAUGGGUGCCGUCAAUUCUGAGGAGAGUGGGGGAAGCGUGCGGCGGGUUUUUAGGCAUUGACUCCCUAACAUAAAGGAAGGAGGAACUGGAGUGGGCCAGGGUUCUGAUAAAAUCGAAUGGGGAGGAUUUGCCGAGUACGUUGGAGAUCGGGGUUGAGGGGGAGGUAUACGCCCUGUCUCUGUGGUGGGAGAUCUCGCCGUCGCUGAGGAAGAAACGGGGGGAUGACCGAGACGGGUAUGGGCGGCAGAAAGGGGAGGUUAGGGGUGAUGAAGAGGUCCUUCACCUUUUAGAUUCGAGAACAUGUGGCUGAAAGUGGAAGGGUUUAAAGACCUCAUGCGGAGUUGGUGGCAGGGGAUGUCGGUCAGUGGAAGGGCUAGCUAUAAGCUGGCUACAAAAUUGAAGGUGAUUAAACAGAAUUUAAAAACCUGGAAUAGGGAGGUGUUUGGGAGCUUGGAGAGUAAUAAAUUGGUUGCUUUACAACAAGUGGAAUACUGGGAUCAAGUGGAAAGCGAGAGGAGACUGAUAGAGGAGGAAACCUCCAUUAAAAAAGAAACAAAAGAAGGAUAUGCUAAGUGGGUUAAUUUGGAGGAGAUACAUUGGAGACAGUUAUCAAGGGAGAUAUGGCUAAGAGAAGGGGAUAGAAAUACGGGUUAUAAAUGACAUUUGGGUGGAGAACGUUUCUUCUAAGUUAGCAUUCUUUGCGUGGGAAGCUACUUGGGGGAGGGUUCUUACCCUUGAUAGGCUUCAAAAGAGAGGAUGACAGCUUCCUAAUCGUUGUUAUUUAUGUGGUAGUGAUGAGGAAAAUGUAAAUCAUCUUCUUAUUCAUUGUACAGUGGCUAGAGUGUUGUAGGAGAUUGUCCUUGGUUUGUUUGGUACCCAGUGGGUCUUUCCAGAAUUUGUAAAGGAGGUGGUUCUUAGCUGGAAGGGUUCUUUUGUGGGUAAAAAGAGGGAGAAAAUUUGGAGAUCCAUUCCGUUAUUUAUUUUUUGGACGGUUUGGAAGGAGAGGAAUAGAUUAGCAUUCACAGGGGGGGGGGGGGGGGGGGGGGUUAGUUUUUUAAAAAAUAAAAAAUUUUUUUUUUUUUAAAGGGGGGGGGGGGGAAAAAUUUUUAAGGGGGGGGGGGGCCCCCCCCCUUAAGGGUUUUUGGGGGGGGUUGGCCCCCCGUUAAGGGGGGGGGGGUUUUUUUUUUCCUUUUUUUUUUUUUGGGAGGGCCCCGGCGCCCCCCAAAACCCCCUGUUGGUAUGGGGGGGUUUUCCCUUUUGCAAAAAAAGGGGUUUUCUUUCCGAAAAAAAAAAAAANNNNNNNNNNNNNNNNNNNNNNNNNNNNNNNNNNNNNNNNNNNNNNNNNCUCCCUUAUAGGUUUCUUGGAGUGGUUAGCCUCCAGUUAAGGGUCGGUGGGUUUUUUUGUUCCUUUUGUCUUUUGUUGAGAGGCCCACGUCGCCUCGUAUACUCCCUGUAUGCUAUGCGGCGUUUUGCCUUUUGCUAAUAUAUGUGUUUACUUAUCGAAAAAAAAAAAAAACCUUCUAUACAGUAUAUUAUUUCCCAAUGGAAGUGCUAUAAACUAAACAAAUACACCCUUUCCAAUUGCUAUAAAAAUUACUGGGUUGGAAACAGUCCACAUAGGUGAGUGAAUUAUCGAAUAAUCUCAAGAUUGAACAGCCAGAUUUUUCCAGAUAAGAAGUCGCUACAAAUCUUUUCUUCUCUUAAUUAUUUUCUUCUUUGAGAUUCUGUAACUGCUGUGUGUGCAUGAUUGGUCACUCAUUUUCUUGUGACAUCAUCUUCAUGACUUAUUUUCUUCACAAGAAACAUUCUUUUUUAUUCUUUGACAGAAUUUAAAAGUUGACUUUGAUUGGUUUACCACUUAGUUGCAACCUCAUUUUCUUAGCCACCUUUCCCCAUCCCAAGUUCAAAAGCCUUGUUUCUAUUUCUAAGUCAGUAAGAGCUAUCCUUACUCCGUCAUUUAUCAGGAUUGUAUAUAUCGUGUACUCUUUGGUGCCAUUAUAUAUACAUGUUAUUUGUAAAUCAGAAAAAAAAAAUAUGGAAAAAUGUCUUAAGAGAGUGGUUUGGAGUUAUUUGGGAUUGUGAUUAUGGGGGGUGGGUUUUUUUAUUCAGCAUUAGUAAGUUCUCUCCAAUCUUCUUCAACUUUUGAUUUAUGCCAAGAUUUUUGCAGUUUAUUUUUGUAGUUGCCAGCAUAAGUUAAGGCCUGAGGUGUAGAAGAGGAUAACCCAUGAAAAUUGAGUUUAUAGAGAAAAGGAAAAACAUAUUUUAUUUAUUUUUAUUACUGUUAAAGAGUAAAAAAUGUAUGUUAAGUUAACGUCCUCUUGUGCACACAUCUCCAACCGUGCAGGGAGUGAAACAUUUUUAAACAAAUGCAUGGGGAAUAAACGAACAUAGAAGUUUAAACCUGAGAGUUCUAAGAAUCAAGGCUCUAGUACUAUAUUAAAUGAUCAGUUAUCACAAAAGUUUAAGCUUAUACAGAAUGAGUUAAGAAUAUUUAUCAAGUUAAUGGAAAUGAUAGGAACUAGUUAGUGAAAGAGAGUGACAAAGGAAAUUGACAGCAGAAAGCUAAUCCUUCAAAAGUAAAUGGAAUUAACAAAUUAACAAAUUACACUCAUUUCCAUGCUGUUAAAGAAAAUGAAAUCGAUCUCCAUGUGACUUAGUCAAUUGGUUCAUCUCAAAGGUCUAGUUUUUAAACUUGUUGGUAUUAUAUGUAUGGAUAUACCCAAUUCAAUUGCCAUUAAAAAAUAAAUAGAUAAAUAAAUAAAUAUACUCCUUCCAAUUGCUAUUAACAAUUAUUGGAAGUGGGUGACUAUCUGUAUGGUUGACCUGGUAAACGGAUUCAUCUCAAGAUGGCCCAAUUAGCUUUUCUAGAGAAGUCAACACAAACAAUUUUAUUGUUUUAUUUUUAUUUUUUGAUUUUUCUUCUUCUACAACAAUUGGCUGUUCAUGAUUAGUCACAUAUUGGUUGUAACAUCAUCUUGAUAACCUACUUUUCUGCAUGGGAAUCAUUUUUUUUUUUUUUGGUUCUUUGACAGAAUGUUAAAAUUGACAGAGAUAAUGAGAUUGGUCCAACACUUAUUAAUGGCAACAUCAGUUUUGUUAGCCGUUUUCAUCUAUCUCCUAUGUAGAGGCCUUGUUCCUUAUGCCUAAUCUAUAAGAGCUAUCUUCUGUGUAUCAUAGAUGGAUCAUGGAUUAGAUAAUGCAUAUGCAAAACAUAGAAGAAAGAACACUGCAGGGAUCAUUUCCUAGGAAAAGCCUUUCCUCUCAAAGAAAAACUAAUCAGGAUUCAGUACUACUAGCAUACUUUUGAUCAAGUAGAUUUUAUGAGCUGAGCUGACUAAUAGAUCUUCUAUGCCUAGUCCCUUUGUUUUGUACCAAAAAAGGAAAAAAGGAAGUGAGAAAAUAAGAAAGGAGAAAUCAGAAUGAGAAUUUAGAGUGCAUGAUUUAAAAUGCUUAAANNNNNNNNNNNNNNNNNNNNNNNNNNNNNNNNNNNNNNNNNNNNNNNNNNNNNNNNNNNNNNNNNNNNNNNNNNNNNNNNNNNNNNNNNNNNNNNNNNNNGAAACAGUCGACAACCCUAGAUUUUCUUAUUAUGUAAUUAAAUAGUCAGCAUUUCCAAAUCCCUCGUGUUUUCGUGUAUAAAUACUCAACCUUGACUAAAAUUCUUCAUUCUCAUCCCACUCUAGCUUUUGUUUUCUUUAGCUUGUUAUAUAUUCAUCCUCUGAAGUUAGCAUGGCAAAGAUUUAUUCCUCUAAGGCCUCCAAAGUAAUGCUGACAGCUAUAUUUGUAGCAAUUCUAUUGCUUAUGUUCUCUAUGGCCACUACUGCAAUUCUACAGGACACAACAAUAGGAGUUCAGUAGGGUGAGUAGAAAAUUAUCAUAUGGAGUGUUCUAUUUUUAUUUCUCAAUGCCAAGAUACUUUUGCUUUUUGCUAUCAACUUUGCAUGCCUUUUGCCUUCUUCAUUUCUGUGAUUGUGUGUGAACUUUGUUCAGUUUCUAUGAGUUGGGGGUUUUAUUGAAUUCCAUCCAUGGAAUUGGUAACUGAGAAAUCUUCAAACAGAAGGGUCUACUCAUCUGUGUUCCUGACCGCCUAUCAUUUUUGUGUUGCAGGACGGAAGGCUCUAGGUUUAUCUGUUCAUGUUGAUUAUGAAGACCAGUAUGAUGCAGGAAGGGGAGGAUACGGCUCAACAAGUCCAUAAUCGUGGGAUUGAGUUCCCAAGAGCUGUUUUCGGGAAGGUUGCCAAAUAAAUCUAAGAAUUUCUGUGUUUCUGAGUGAUAAUAUAUGGUUCAUGUAUGUUAUUUUACAAAGCAUUUGUACCUUAAAGAAGCACAGAAAGUUGGUGUUAGUCUCUAUAGUGUUGUGAAUUUAUUUUUCCUGCAGUUGUGUUGAAAUUAUAAAUGAAGAGCUUUUCUCCCAGUUCCAUAGUAAUUCUCUUUAGUACUCUACAGAGGAGUCCUACCCAAAUCCCACACCAAAUUGUUAGUUUACAAAAGUCUAUUACCCAUGGAAAAGCUGGGAGUUCUUCAUCCCACACCAUAUUGCAUUUGAUACAGAUUGCAAUAAUUUUAUGAACAUUAUUGGGAGAACCUUAAUUUAAUUUAAUUUUUUAUUUUAUUGCUGUACAUAUGCAAAAAUCCCACACAUUCUGUGUUCAACCAAAUCACAUUGUUAUGUGGAACCAAAAAACCGCUGUCGUUUAACUCCACGGAGAAAGUGUAAGUACUGCAACUGCUGAUAAGUGAUGAUGGCAUCUGCCAUUGAUGCAAAUCUGUUUUCUUGUCACUUCUUCAGUUUUCUUGUCCACCAAAAGAGGAUUGAAAGUAUUUUAUGUCCUUAGUUUCUUCCUUUUAGGAUCAGCUGAUCCAAUUCUCUUGCGUCGGUUUCUCAAUUGUGAGAGCCAGAGGUUUUAGAGGUUUCGAGUCUUUUGACAUGAUGAAAAUGACCCACAAGUCCUGUAGGGGUUUUCAACUGAGGAGCAGGAUUUAAAUUUCAAUGACGUGUAGAAAAAGAAAAUUUUGUUUCUUUCUGCAACCAGCAACCCAACUAAAAGAAAGCAGGUUCAGUCAACUUUAUUAUGAAUGGAGCCUGUAUUACAAAAGAAAGUGAAGCGUUAAGACAAAUAUUGAGACCCAUUUAAUUCUGCUGCUUGGCGUUUUCAGAGUGAUUUUGUUGGUAAUUUGCUGGAUUUUGUGGCGCUUUCUCAAGGGUAGGUGUGAUUUUUUGGUUUCUGAAGGAGAGAGACAGAGGGAUAUCAUAAAACAACGUGGCUAAAACUUCUCUCUUUCUCACAAUAAGUUUAGGCGUUUAGGGUUUUUGCCUCUAAUUGGCAGCAGCAUGGAGCUGUGCGGGAGAUGGACAAAUAUGAGAAAAAAUCUAACCCACCUGCAUGGAAGCCAUUUUUGAGCGUCUGAGCUCUCCUUUUUUAUCAAUUGGAUGCUGUUUAUGUAGGGCUUAACCAAUCCAAGUUGAAGCCCUAGCUCAAACCCUGAUGGAGCUAAUUAGUCUUAUGUCCGGAAAGAGCUUACUUGUUUUACUUGAGCCUUGAAAAAGUUCAGCAGAUGGAGAGUUACAUUUUCCUAAUCCUACGUUUGCUAGUUAUAAUUACAAUUCCCCAUCUCUCCUUGUAAAUUCUCAGUUUAUAACAAUAUUAGCUAUCUCAUCCUAAGCCCAAAACAGCUUGCUCUAAAUCUCUAAUGCCUUCUAAUUCAUGGUAACGGAUGCUUUGCUUUGCUUCGGUAUGUCAACUUUACACAAACAAAAAUAACAUUCCAAUUGGAAUGUGUUCGAUUAGUUAUGCAUUUAACUACAUGCACUUGUACUUUGCAGGAGAAAUCGAGGGCUUUCCAUGCAUUAAUUGAAUAAGGCUAGUGACUAGUCUAAUGAGUAUCCAAUGGAUGAGUCAUAAGAAAAGAGGAAAGAGAUAUUUUCCUGGUUACUGGAUGAGGCAGAGGCUGAAUCUUUACGCUUUACUUGAUGCCUGAGAAAGAUUCUAUGGAAAUCAUUUCUUGAAAAUAUUACAGUAAGGGGGUUGUAUGUUUCUUCCUCUUGAAAUUUUGAUGAAUAAUUUCCUCUUGGUUUUGAAGUUGUGGUUUCCUACAUUGGUGGAUGUCAUUGGCAUUAUCUGACUCUGUUUAUCUAUAUUUCUUUUAUUCUUUGCAUUUA
rnacentral:lncRNA from 1 species